UACGUAGGGUGCAAGCGUUGUCCGGAAUUAUUUGGCGUAAAGAGCUCGUAGGCGGUGUGUCGCGUCGGCCGUGAAAACCUGGGGCUUAACUCUGGGCGUGCGGUCGAUACGGGCAUCACUGGAGUUCGGCAGGGGAGACUGGAAUUCCCGGUGUAGUGGUGAAAUGCGUAGAUAUCGGGAGGAACACCAGUGGCGAAGGCGACUACCUGGCCUGUUCUUGACGCUGAGGCGCGAAAGCUAGGGGAGCAAACGGG
rnacentral:rRNA from 1 species